rnacentral:lncRNA from 1 species
CGCUGCCUCUCCUCACGGCUGCUCUGUCCUCCGCGGCCCGCACGGUCCCGGGCCCUCGCUGCGGUGCGCUGUGCGCGGCCGUUCGGCAGUGCCGUGCCGCGCCGCCCUCCCAUCGCCAGCCCAGGCCCUGCGCCGCGCCAACGCGGCCUCCUCCGCCUCUCGGCUCCAGUCGCUGCGAGGGGGAGGCCGGACUCUGGAACGAGGCUGCUGCCGCCGCUCGCAUUCCUGCUGCAAGGGCCUCCCCUUCAGACGGCCUUUGCCAGAGCAGAACUUUUAAAAACGCUGUACAUAGGCGCUGCUGCUUUUUCUCCUCUUCGUCUCUCUCUCUCUCUCUUUCUCUCUUUAUUUAACCCUCCUUUCACUGCUGAAGAACGGAUUAAUUUUCCGUCUCUUCUGCGCUUGGCUCGGCCGUACUGUAUAUCGUUGCAUUGAGGUUAAAACUCCCGAGUAUUUUCCCCUCCGCUGAUCCUUUUCUCUCCCUCUCUCUCCUCUCUCUCUUUUUUUCCUCGGUUAAGGGGAAUUGAUUUCUUUGGCCGAGCUAGUUUGUAUGCUGUGAGAACGAGGGCUUUUAUUUGUCACGUCCCCCCCCCCACCCCCCCUCCCAGUACCGGCACACCGCGCAGCUCACGGAACGGCCGCUCGCUCUGCCUGCCUCUCUACUACAGCUCCGUUCCCGUGGCUGUAGGUGUCCGUGCCGCACGGAGCGGGGCUCCGGUUCCCCCCCCCCCGCCUCCCCGAGCACUCUGCGAUGGCCGACACGGGGGUGUGCGGCGGGCGGGGGCCGUCUGCUCCCCGCGGCGGAGGGGAGAGGGAUGUGUAGCAAAACGCUGCCUCUGGGACAGCCUCCCAUUGUUGUCGCUGGGAGCUGGCAGCAGCUGUGGCAGGGGGAGCGUGCGGAGGAGCCGCCAGCCGCCCGCUAGUGUCUCAGCCUGGAUGUAGCCCAGAUUUGUGAAAUGCACAGCAGUAGAAUUUGAGUUUUCAAGUGAAAUAACUCUUCCUUGUCUGAACCGUCCUUCAAAAUGCGGGAUUAGAAGUUUCCUACCACAUCAUCUUUAGGACUCCCAGAAAAUUCUUCUGCAGCUUGUGGCUGCCCGGAAAAGGAUGUUGUAGUAGUCUGGCAAAAUGAACUCAAGAUGCACAAGAAGAACAUACUAGAGACUGAUCUGCAAGGUGUUCAGGUUCACUGAUAAGAUGCAAACCAGAAUCUGCCUGUUGGUUAUCUUUCCAGACAUGUUUCAGAGCUAAUAAGGGAGACUGACGAGUACCAUGACUUCAAACAGAAGCAUUUUGAGAAAUGACCUAGGGGGAGCCAAGUUACAAGUUGAACUCUAACCAAGUUAGAAGAGGAAAUAAGUGAAGAUUGGUCAUGUAUGCAAAGAAAAUGACAAGGUAUCUAAGGCAAUCACAAUUCAGAUUAAUUUCUUGCUGGUGUAGAGGUCUUCAUGGUACAUUAAUUCUGGCAAUAAACUUUAAAAAUAGUCCUUGGAAAAGAUGUUUUGAAAAGAACUUUUUUCUACUGUUUCAUUGCCAGAGUAAGUAUAUGUCUUUAUAAGUGUCUUGAAGAUACAUCUUUGAAGUCAUCAUUGUGUUGAAUUGUAGCUGUAUUUCUAGAAGUAAAUGAUGAUCGCAUUCGUGAGCUGUGUUUUUGGCAGAAGUGAGUAAAAACACUGCUUCUCCCAACACCAAAAUAAAAUCUUGCUAGACGCUGUCAAUUUCUGAGGCUUUAAAGUAAUCAUUUCAUGAAUUCAUUUAAAUCACUGCACUUGAACGCUCAGUGCACAAGUUAAACCAUUUUCUCUUUUCUUUGUCAUGUAUAACCAUUACAAAUAAAUGUGCUAGUACUUGUUUUGCUCUGUAUUUAAAGGAUGUGUUCUCUUAAGUUGUUCUGCAGAUUUGUAACUUGAGGAAUGUAAAAUCAGUACUACUGACAACUCAUAUCCCUCAAAUACUCUCAAUAACGUGCAUUUGUAAUAUUUACACAGUGGCUGCUAAGAGGCUGACACAAGGCUAUAUACCACUUAAGAUCUGAGGUUAAAUGGUUCUUCAGUGAUGCAUAAAAUUUGUAUUGAUCAUCUGCCCGGCACUGAAUUGAACCUAUUAAUGGAUAAGCCUUACAGUAUCACUAUGAGAAAGGGAAUUAUGAUCUCAAUUUAAAAAGUGGUAAAACAGAGCCCCAAGGGCUCAAGUAAUCAUUUCAAGUCGUACAGGAAGUAUAUAGCAGAGCUCUCAAUCUAAGCCAGCUCACCUGACCAACCAUCCUUGUGUUUGUUGUCCUUUUCAUCAUAUUCUGUCAGGUGUGGAAUGUGUAUGUCAACAGCUAUGCAUUCCUUAUGCACUGCUUUAACAGUCAAGUUCUCUUGCAAAGUAACUUAAAACACACAGGGAAUGUGAAUUGUGAAUCUCUCUUGUCCAUAAAGAACACGACACAUGAUGCAAAAGGGCCAGCAUAAACAACAUAAGUUGGAUUUUAAUAAGUUAAAAACAAAAUGUACAGGAAGACCUGUUGUUGUUAUGACCUCUCUAUUUUUUCUCUUUUUAAUUCUUUUCCCUUUUCUUUGCAUGGUGUUCUAGAUCUUUCUGUAGUACAGAGAGGAACUGCUUGUAUAGAACAAUUAAUGCUUUUGCUUUUGUAAUCUUGCUGAAUGUCUAUUUGAUUUCUUUAGCAAAUGUCAGGUCACAUGUUGGCUGAUUGCGUUCUGAAACUGAAGUAUAAAUCAUCUUCUCAAGUGACUAACUGUCAUUUUUCUUUGCAAAAUAUUUUUCUAUCUCUACCUUAUGUAACUCUUACAGUUGCUGACAUUUUCCUAAAAGCCCUGUUCAUUUGACACUCAAGAUUUCAGUAUAAAACUAUAGAUGAGAAUAGAUAACUCUUUUGCCUUCGCUUAGUACCUGUUUCCUUUACCAUUAGUUGAAGAAAGGAGUAUUAUGCAUUUCUGAGUCAUACUGUAUAAAGGUACUUUAUUUUAUACAUCAUUAGAAUUUUAAAAGAAGAAGAAGGAAAAGCUGUACCAUAGGUGAAAGCAAGAGUUAACAUGCUUGAACUGUAGAAAAUGGCUAUUAAAUUUUGAUGGAUGCUAUCACUGAUAGAUCAAAUAAAUGUUGAUGUAGUGAUGUAGAGGGUAUGGAUAAAAAGAUGAGUGCUACAGAAAUGGUUGUUAGUAUUAAUGGAAAACAUAUAUAAAAAUAUAUAAUCCUCAGCCAAAGACAUGGAUCUACCCAGAAGAAAAGAACAGAGUAUGGACUUCUUAUAUGCCUUGAGUUCUGUCUAUAAGAGUGCAGCCCUAUAUAGCUGUGUCUUGUCACAGAUUAAGAUUGCAUAUACUUGGCCAUGCCUUAUGUUUUAUUGUGCCCGAUUCCUGCUGGCUUAGAGAUGAUAUUCUAGUAUUAAUAAUCUGCUUUACGUAUUUAUAUGUUGGUAGAAAGCUGUUAAUGAGUAUUCCUAACAGAUCUUUUUAAUCAAACAUAAAAUGUAAGAAUUUCCUAGGAAAAAAUGGCUGCAUAACAUGGAAACAGUUGGUAUUAAAUUCCUGUUGGUGUGGCCUUUGACUCGCAGCUUCUGCUGAGUCCAGCUGAGAGAUAAAUGAGAUAAUUUUGCUGGUGUUUCAGGUCAGCACUUAUGCCAAUCUCACCAUCAUGGACAGUGAAUUCAAAUGUUUCUGAACAGCUCUGGAAAAACACAUUCAAGAAAAGCUGUGUUCCAUCUGACAGAAUGCUACUUUUAAGCACUUAGGGUGAUCUGGAAUGCCAGGACUUUGGUCCUGAGAAUUGGUCCGCUAUUCCUAAAGCAUCCAAGCUCAAAUCUUUUAGUUAAAAGUCUCUAGAUUGUUUAAAAUUUAUGGGUAGAUGCAGGGAAUUUUAAGACUCCUGAAGGAGUCUGUAGGGGUAGGUUUAAAAUGUCCAUAUAAAUACAGUCUUAAUCUCUAAAAAAACAAUCUGAAUUGAUUGAGUACUGAUGUAAAUGUAAUGUAAAAGAGGAUUGCUGUGCUUAGAAAGGGAAGUCAGAUCUUUAUCUAAAUAUCUCUGCUUUAUAAUAAGAUACAGUAUGAUAACAUGCACAGUGAACAGUUGAAAUCAGCACAGACACAUCUGAGAAGGGACACUUUAGUCACGUAAAGAAAGGUGUGAUAAGUACCUUCCUCGAAAGCCAGACUCCCUGCAGUUUAGAGCAGCCUAUUUUAUUGACAUGUGUGACAUCUCCUGAUUGUGUUUUGGGGGUUUGUAGAAUUACUGUACCCUUCUUAGCAAAGGCAGAUGUAGGAUUGGGUCUCCAAGAAACAGAUUCCAUCUAUCCAUUUACAUACCAGUCUGACCUUACCACUGAAGAUUCUUAAAGCUGGUUCAUGGACAUCAUAAAUUUGUACUCCUCAGUUCAUAAAGGUAGGGACAUAAUAUUUUACAGGUGUGGAAGUGAAACAUAGAUGUGAAUAUUUUAAGACAUAUAGCCUUGACAAUGAUACUUAAAAUCAUUCAUCAUGGAUCAGCUCAGGGAAAUAAGCAGGAUUGUAGUUUGCCUUUGAAAGUCUGACUAGUUACUAUAGCACCUGAAGAAACCAAGUGAACUGAACUUAUUUUUCUGAGAAUACUUGUACAAGAGGACAAAGAAAAUCUUGAAAAUCUGUUGUACGCUCGUGAAAUGAAUCCAACUCUCUGAAAUUUCUGAAUAUCUGAAGAACUUUUCUGUGUUCCACCUUACUCUUCUCUGAUUUGAAAACAUCUUUUUUGAGUUCUUGGAAAACUGUGCAUUUCUACUGUGUGCUGUUCUCAUUAAAUCUAUCUUUCUCUUGCUACAAGCUCUGAUGGAGGGGGACUUCCAACAGUACUCUCUCAUAGGUCCCCCACUGCAUAUUAGACAACACUGGGUCAUGAACACUAAAGUCUCCAAAGGCCUACUGGAUGAUCCCCUUUUAAGAUCUCUGGUGGUACAAGUUGUCCCAGAUUAGAAGCUAUUUGCAGGCUUCGGGAAUGUGAAGAGUAUGUCUCCCCAGUUACAUAUCUCAGGAGAUCUGCAAAGAAAAAGAGGAUGAUUAAAGUUUAUGGCUUGCAAAAGAAGGAAAUCAAGGGGAUUAUUUCUCGGUGUUCUUUUUAUGAGAUUUUUUUUUUAAAGGAAAAAUAUUUUGACUGACAGGCCUUUGAACAUGCUGUGAGUUCUGUAUUUGCAGUAAGGCCUGGAGGAACAAGCUUUUAUUUUCUACUAGAAGACUGCAGUCUUUAGCACUCUCAGUAUUAAGAUCAUUGCAGGCAGGCAUCCCUGCUGAUAUUACUAAAAGGAACUUUAAUCAAUCUUGAAAAAAGACUUCAAUAACCUGAAUUAUGGCCACUAGUGCUAGACCUUUGAUAGGAGAAUGGGUCUAGCAGUAUUGAUUUUCUCACUCUUAGCAUUUCUUCUGAUAUUUUUGCCACCUACUAGUAAUGUGUAUUUUAAUAAAACUUUAUGAACUGCCUUUUCCCAGCAAUCUUUCUGUUUUUAAGUGGAAAAUUUUUUACAUCAUUUGCAUGCUUUUUUUUCAUUUUGAAACAAAUACAAUUUUUGUGGAAGAUUGCGGAUUCCAAAACCAAUCUAAAAAUAGCAACUUCCCUCUCUAAUUAUGACACAGCCCUUUGUCAGUACUACCAGAUGGGGAAGAUGAGCCAGAAAAUAGUAUGAAUAGUCACCAGUUGUCUUCUUUCAUUUCUCUUUUUCUGUGAGAAAGCAAGAUCUUUUGCAUUUUCUUGACAUUUUAAGUGCUAGACUUUAUGUUUAGAAAAACUUAGAGCUGGUUUUGACAAAACAGCCUCGAGAGGUUUAGAGAAUUCAGAGCCUUCCAGGGACAUCAGCAGAAUUGAGAGAACUGAUAGAAAGGACCUAUGGGCUAGGAAAUCUGAUGGGGUGCACACAAGAGUGGUUUACUAUUUACAUGUAAAGAAAAAUAGGGAAAAAAAAAAGCUGAAACUACUAAUCUUGAUAAUAUUUUUCUAGAUUACAGCAAAGCUCAUAGGUGUCAUCUUGCAUAUGGCCUGUGGCCUUUUGACCUUCUGAAAGAUGGCCUUGUGGUUUCAUAGGUUAGCUCUCCAUGAUUAAGUUGUUACUGAGGAGACCGCUAACACUUUUCCACAGCACUGUUGCUGUACCUUUAUAGUGACUGCUAAAUGAUGUGGUACGUACCACAGAGACCACUGUCCAGAGGAAAGUGCUGUCAGAGAGUGAGAGAGGGUUAACCACAAAAUAUUUACAAUUUUAGCAUGCACUGAAAAAAAUAUAUAGCUGAAAACAGUAUUUUCCUUUUGCUCUCUUUGUGCAUUGUGGUUUUAGAUUGGCUGCAAAAAUGUUUCUGUAUAGUGUGGAUUGUCUACAGCAGAUGGCAAACAAUGAUUAACCAUUUCCUUCCAACUGCUCUUUAAUGGGCAGAAACCAAGGUGAACCAGUUACUCGUAUUAAAUUAAGCUGAAAAAAAUCAUGUAGUUAUGAGUGUAAAUGUUCUCAUCUAAUAUAAACUUUCCAAGAAUAGUGCAGUUGGGGCUGGAUGUCUUCUUUCAAGCUUAUUUCCAGUGGCAGAGGAUGUAAAGAACUAAAUGAUAGUAAAGUAUAAUUAUAGUUUUUAAUUUACUUUUAAAUUAUUCCAUUUUUAAGUGAAAUACUGAUUUACACAAGUGCUGGACCUCUGAACUACUUGGAUUUGCUACUGUAUCUUAACCAAAAGUAAGUUUCUUGUAUGCUGCUGAUGAGACUUAAUAUGUUUUCAUAAAAUAAAGCUUCUGUAAGAUUAGAGUGGAAGUACUGCUCUAGCAUUAAGAGCUAGGGUAAUAGGAUGCACAUCUGCUAUAUAUUCACAUUUCUAAGCUGUUCUACUUUUCGUACAUUAAGGCCAAAGGAGGCCUAGGAUAGAUGCUUGCUUUCUUUUAAUUUGAAAGCACAAAAAAAAACCCAAUACCUUCUUAAUAUUGUUAAUUUAAGAAGUAGUGUCAUCAGUGAGAUGAUAGUGAUACAGGCUGGGAGCCAGCUGUGUAGGAAUCAGUUCAGUAGAAACAGUGCUGGUAGUCCUGAUACUCAAGGUGAAUAUCAGGUAGCCAUAUGCCCUUCCAGCAGAACCAGCUUGCAUUCAGUGUUGCAUUGGCAAGACUAAAGGCAGCAGCUCUAGAAAAGGGGCCCUCUCCUUUUAGCACUUGUGAGACUCUAUUUGGAGUUCUGUGCCCAGUUCUAAGGUACAAGGUGGCAACCACCUUGCUAGCACAAGUCCAGUGGAAGGCGCCAGUACGUGGCUGGAGUACAUGGUGAACAAGGAGAGACUGAAAGAGCUGGGUCUGUACAGCUGGAGAAAGAAAGGCAGAAGGGCAACCCUACUGCUAUCUACAGCUACCUUAUUGAUGUUAGGGUAAGGAAAAGAUGGAGCCAGGCUCUUCUCGAAGGUGCCACAGAAACAGAAUGAGGGCAAACAGACACAAGCUGGAAAAUGAAAAGUUCCAGUCAGAUAUAAGGAAAAGCAUUUUACCAAAGUGUGUUGAAACACUGCAACAAAUGUCCACAUUGACUAUGAUAUCUCCAUCCCUAGAAGUAUCCAAGAUUCAUCUGGGUAUAGACUUUAGCAACUUGAUCUCAUUAGACCUGCUUUGAGGAGGAUUAGGUAUUUCCAGAGGCCUUCCGAGCUCCAUUAUUCUAUGGUUAUUAGAUUCUGUGAUAAGUAGGACCAGUUUUUUUUUCUACAUGACUCUCUCUGAAGUGAACUCAUAGCUUCAUUGAAAUCAAAUAACAAGAUUCUUAUUGACUUCGUGAUACUCUUUUGUGUGAUUUGGAGGGUUCUUUGAAAUCAAAUAAUACUUUUCAUGUUAGGAGAACUUCAGAGAAAAGCUUUUGUUUUUUUCUGAAAGUUUAUUUCACAACCAACAGAUUCCUUUAGCAUAUAUGGAUAAAGUUAUCCAUAUAGAAGAUAAAGAUUUUUUGCUCUAAAGGAGCAAAAAAAAAACCUGAUAUUUUUCUCUCAAAUUUGUACCUGUAUUCCUGUAAGCUCAAGUAUUUAAUUGACUGGCUUAAAAGUGGAGGGGAAAUUGGUGAUAGAAGAAGAGUGUCGUUCUCAUGAUCCCGAAAAUAGAAAGUAUUUCAAACCCUUGAAAUCUGUUGUCCAGCUUUGACAUUAACAAAGUAAAUCAUACAAAGAAAUAUUAUAUAAAAAGCCCAAAUCCUACUGUGAGCUUAAUUACAUUUACAUGUUUACAUUUUACAACUUCCUGUGACAAAGCGAAUAAAAUGCCGUGUGAACAGAGUGUAGUAUUAAAGCAAAUGUUCAUUUACUGUAUUUCUGAAGAGGGCAAAGAGUUAUUAAUGUUGCUUAGAUUGGCUUUUUUUAACUGCCACUUGUAAGUAGAGUGUAUAUAGCCUUUUUGUGCUAUGUUCAUAUGAUGAAAACAUCAAGGGCGUGUUUUCUCCUCUUACCCAACCCACUUUUUCUACUUUGUAAUUUUCCAUAUGCUGUUGACUACAAUAUUUUUAAUUGAGUGUGGUGCAUACAUGCCUGGAUAGUGAUAAAUCACACUGCAGACUAUGUGGCCCAUAAAAAUUUUAUGCAGCUAUGAGAAGAAGUUACUGUCAUUACAGGACCAUUUGGGGAACCAGAGUACUUGUUUCAGCAGUCUGGGUUUGAUCUUUUAAUGCUAUCAGUGUUUUGGAUGAGUGCAGAUGCAUACAUGAUGAAUUUAGAAUGUUCCGGGAAUACUAGAAAACGUCUAAAUACCUCCAGUGUUGAGGUUAAAUUCUCAGUUUGGAAAUUCUUCUACCCAAAUCUUCAUAGCAUACCUUUCCAUAAGAAGAGUCUGGAUCUAAGAAACAUCUAUCGCUAUGUUAAUUCUUAUGCACAAAGUUCCAAUGUUCACCAUUUGUUGUGAUUUCAUAGCAAUAUUAAUAAAGUAUUGUUGUUUCUUAUCCCCCAACUCUUCAGAACUUGUUUUCUUUGCAGCAUUUUCCUUGUAGUCAGGAGGGAAUUUCACAUGCUUUUAGAAAAUCUGACAAAAUACAAAAGUCAUUAGCUGGAACACAAAAAAACAAGUGGCCUAAGAGCUGUGAUUCUGAGAACAGGAAAUAUUGAUUUUGUGAUUCAGGAAGAUUUUAUUUAAUGGGGCAUUUAAACGUUUGUAUGUGAAUCUGUUCCAUGACAUACACUGCAGUUAGCAACAGCUUUUGUGUAUCAUGUCUAAUAUACCCAUACACUUCUGACAGUAUGUAUAUUCAUGAGAUUCAUAACAUUUUCCUGCAGUUGUCCUCAUAACAGAUUUCAUUUCAAAGCAGCACUUCAUUGAUGUAGAACACUGACGCAUUGUACAUAUAAUUGUUUCUCAUCUGUAUGAUUAUUUUGUGACACCUAGUGGAUAUAUUAAUAGUUGUGCCAGUUCAAAUUUCCUUGGGUUGUUUGGGUUGUCUGAAUAUACAUUCUGGCCUGCAAACUGAAUUCACAUCUUAAACACAUCGAAUCUCGGUCUUUCUUUCUUACUUUCUCUCUUUUUCCUUUUUUUUUUUUUUUUUUUUUUAAUUUUUAUUUGACUUUGAUCCUGGAAUGGUUUGGUCAUAAUCAGCUGAACAAAUACUCAGCACCCAAAAGUCCUUAGGAAAUCCCAUUAGUCCUAAAACAAUACAAGGUAGUAAAAAUUUGGAAAUGUCACGAUACUGUUAAGUCAGAGUCCCUACAUGUGCAGUGUGUGAUCUUCACCCAUCAGCUUUUUCUACUGCAUCAAUUUUUCUGUAUAGUAGAUCAAGUAUGAAGUUCCCUUUGGAGUUGAGCAUGCGUUACAUAAAAUUGUGAAAGGUUACAAAGAAGUACUCAGACUUUUCGCCCUAUGGGGGCUGUAACAAAUCCAAUUCCUUUACUGUUCAUAGAGAAUGAAAUGUGAUAAAUAAUUAAAAUAUUUUUCUAUAAACAUGAGAAUGUAUUUAGAAAAUUUAUAUCAAUAAAUGUAGUCUAGAAAUGCCUUAAACGCAUGACCCACUUUCGUGACUAAGAUAUAUCAUAUGAAGUAUAUCUUAAUUUACAUUCUGAGCCUGAAGCUUAUUUUGAAGUCAUUUGUCCUACAGGCAGAGUUGAAUUACUGUCUUGUGUAUAUACUGCAAAUGCUGGGAAAUAGGAAAGUCAGUAUUUUCAUAUGCCUGGUUUUUAUGUUCAUAAAGGGAGAGGAAGUAUGUUUUUUUGGACAGUGGCCUCAAGUCGGUUUGCUCUGUUGGUGAGUUGAUGCUGUUGGUGUGCAUGUUUAUAACUUCAUAGAUGGUAUUCCUUACCCAGUAGGUCUUAAAUUCUGGCAUACCAGAGAAGAUGCAGGGCAAUAGCUCAUAUGAUAGCUAGGGUAUGAUUUUAGUAGUUCCUAACAAGGAUCUGAAAGGAGCUGUAAAGUGCAUUUAUUUAUAAAUAAGAGAUUGUGUAUUUUUUGUACUUGGGGAAUUUGAAUUGAGUUGUCCGGAAGACAUAAAUUAUCUUUGAAGACCAUCUUCAAAAUUUUAUGUUUUACCUUGUCUCUCUUCAGGGAGAAUUUCUUAUUUCCACUCCCAAAAGGCUUCAGAAUCAGAAAACGCAGUACUGAACUGUGUCUUUAAUACCAACUGAUAUGGCAUUCUUUUCCUGUACUCUUCAGAGUUGCUUAUCAUAACAUUCCUCUUGUGACUUUGGUUUAUGUAAAAUUAGAGCCUGUAGCAACAACAUCAUGAAUAAUGGACACAAAGUUUCUAACACAUCAUUGAACGCUGGCAAAGAUCUGCUUACUCUCUACCACCUGAAGCCAUGGUUCGAGUUCAUUAAUGAAUGUUUAACUAGUGAAAGCUUUAGUCUCAAGUAAAAAGACUUAGACUGGAGUAAAUCUAUUGAGAGCCUCAGUCACCUGAGAAAACAAAAGGUUGUGCGGAGGGAGCUGAAAGCAGGCAGUGCUGUGUGUCUGGCCACCCGAGCUCCUUGCCUGCAAUUCAUGAAGGGUGUUCAUUGUGCAAACGUGUGCCGUAUCAGUGUCACUGCCCCAGUCACCCCAAGGCACUCCAGAUGCCAUGCUCAGCUCCCUUGGCACGCAUGUCUACAGCAGCUGCCCCCCUUGCACUUGACAUCAGCUUGCUAUGUUUGAAGUAUCCCUGCAGGUCAUGAUGCUGAGGGCCAGCACAGUCUGGGAUGCCUGGUCUUGCGGACUCCACAGGAUUGCUGCCACAUACAAGUUAGGGUGCAACAGCCCUGGCAAUGAUCAGCAACUUUUGGUGGUUUCCCCCCUCUCUUUUUUAAGGCUUGUGUUAUGUGAACUUAUCUAGGUCUUGGACUGGGCUUUGUGUUGGAUGGCUAACGAGACCAGUAAUUUCGUUAACUUGCGCAGUGAGUGUAUGUAUAAGCCUUCUUUCCAUUGGCAGUAACGAUAACCAGUAACAGUAACGAAUCAGAGCAGAGACAAAAGAGUUGUGGCAAAACCACCUGUGUUUCUUUUUUGAAUCAUACCACAAUUUGAGACAAUGUUGGAGAAUAACAAAGCUGUUACUGUACAUAGAGGUCAUCUGCUGGUAGCCAAAGAAAAACACUAAUUGAAAGAUAAAAGGCAUCUUAAUCAUUAGCAGCAUUGUUACCAGUAAAUUCAUUGAGGUUGCCAGGAGUCGUAGAUGUGAGACGUAAGGCCCAGUUCAGGCUCCAAAAGGAAGGCUAAGGGAGGGGACAAAAGACAGAACAUGAGCCAGACACAGCUGUGUCAGAAGCUAUCACAUCUCCAGAAGUUGAGGCGUGCAUGCAGCCUUCAGCUGUGUGAGUGGGCAGGCUCAGCAGAGGCCUUUGCUUCCAUGUCCCUUAACAGGUGGAGUUCUCUCAUUGUCACCUGAUACGCCAUGGAAAGAUGAAGCCUCAUCGCUCUCUGUGCUUAGUAUCCCCUUCCAGUGUAUUUCGGCACUGAUGUCCCCACAGAAGUCUCCCAUGGGUGAAGGUGGUACGUUAAUGCAGCAUGCUUCACUGGUGGGAGCUUCUUGCUGCAGCCUCACAGUGUUAGUUUGGUCCCUUGUUGAAACAGUAGUAGUCCUUACACAGACUGUGCUGGCUUUGAAUUUAGAACUAUUUAGGAUUCUAAACAAUGAUGCGGAUUGAUUGCAGUCCGGCACAGUCAGUGUAAAUACUUCUGCUUUUGCAAGUGAACUUUUUGUUCAGGUGUGUAGCCUCCAGAAAGAAAAAUACAAGUAACGAGAAAUAACCAGCCCAGUGCAGUUACGGUUUGCAAGGACUGCACAAGGAUUUUCUCUGUCUUAAUGUAUGUAGAUUUCCAGGCUUCUUCUUCUUCACCAUCAGGAUGAACCAAGCGCAGCAGCUCAAGCCAAAUACAGCCCGAACCUCGGAACGUUGUUCUGAGGUGGAAUUUAUUUUUUUUUAAGUGCUUGGCAGCAUUACUCAAAAUAACUGUUUGUGUUAUGGCCAAGUAUAUAGCAAGGUGGGUUGGAAGAUACUGGUCCUGGUUGUUCCUGCAGUUGGACUUGCUAUUUCCACGGGGAUCUGAGAAAGGUGUGUUUUUUGAAGAGCUGGGCAUCACUUACAAGUAAAAGAUAGGGUGUGUAGUUUAGGUGUUAUAUUUUAUGUUCAAAGAUAUUAAGCAAAUCCGGGUGACUUAAGCUGAGGAGACAGUUCUUCCAAAAAAAAAGAAAAUCCAAUAAUCAACAACCUAUAAUAAAAAUACUGUGGGGGAAGGGAGUCAUUGGUAUUUCGUUUUUCUAUCAUCUGUGUGCAUGUAGUCUGAGAUAGUGCAUGGAGAUGAAUUACGAAUGUUUAGGAAAUGCUUGCUGUUAAGGGAGGAGUUAUAUACACAUUUUGUUCUUUGCUAUCUCUGACAAGAGAAAAUAACACUGACACAUUUUCUUAGCUCUUAACAAGAAACAAUCCCUAAUUUGUCACAGCUUCACCUCCUCUUCCUGCAGAGACUCAUCUCCCUGAUAUCCAGCCCUUGCUUUUUUACCUUCAUGCUUGGUGAAAUGUGAAGAGUACCUGUAACAUUUGUUUUUCGUAAGACAUAUCUCACUUACUCCUGGUGGAUUUGCCCUUCCUACACAGGUUUUGUCUCCCGUGGAUGCUGGCUUCACCCCAUUUUUCCCAUUGGGAUCUGCCAAACUUCAUUUCUGCCCUUGAGAGCUAGGAAGCACAGCCCAGGGUGAGAUGCUGCUGCUGCUCCCACAGCUGUCCAUGUCACGCCCGGCAGCCAUCUUAGGCUGGACAGAAAGCCCACCAGGGCCAGCACAGCACAUCAGCUGUGAUUAUGCUAUGAGCAGUGGAAGAUCCCAUCGGUUGCUCUGAAACGUGACCUACCUACUUUGAGGUGAGAUCUGUUUUGUUGUAAAGCAUGGCUUUAGUUUUUCUGUGUGUAUCAUGGAUUCUUGUCUUUAAUUUGCAGUUAACAACAACAACAAAAAAGUUUUCCUUAGUGAAGAGAAGGCUCCGGGGAGACCUCAUAGUGUCCUUCCAAUACUUGAAGGGAGUACCCCUGUUUACAGGGGUAGAUAGUGAUAGGGCAAGGGGAAAUGGUCUUAAACUGAGACAGGGGAGGUUUAGGUUAGAUAUUAGGAGGAAGUGUUUCACACAGAGGGUGGUGAUGCACUGGAACAGGUUGCCCAAGGAGGUUGUGGAUUCCCCAUCCCUGGAAGCAUUCAAGCCCGGGCUGGAUGUGGCUCUGGGCAGCCUGGUCUGGUGGCUGGCGACCCUGCAUAUAGCAGGGGGGGUGAAACUAGAUGAUCUUUGAGGUCCUUUUCAACCUAGGCCAUUCUAUGAUUCAGUGAUUCUAAGUUAGCUUAUUAAGUUGGAGUAUUUGUUUGAAAUUUUAUUUAUUUAUAUUACAGGUAUGGACUGAUAUCAUAGUUUUUGUCACUUAUUUGGAUUUUUCCUGAGUGCGAUGUGUUGCAGUCCAUCAGACCAGGUGGUGGGGAGUGAGAGCACCCUCAACCUCUAGUGUUGGUGUGAGGUUACAGUACACUAGUGGCAAUUUUGCUAGUCAUAUUAACCAACGUCUGUGUAGUACAGUAGAGUACAUUUAGUUUAGCCAUUGAUUCAGUUGUGAGGUACUGUCCUUUAGAAGUAGCAUGUUGCUUAAGUAAGCCGUAACACUUUCUGACAGUCACCAAAUUCUUGGUUCAGUCUUAUAGAUUUACCCAUGCAGAACUUGGGAAAGUCAGUAAGAGCAACUGAGCUGUUCCACACUAGGAUAAGAGAGGAAUACCUAGAAGGCAAUGCAGAACAAAUCCCUCUAAUUCAGCAUUUAUUCUCUAAGUCACUGUGAUGCCUUUCUUGAAGUGACAAAACUGGUUUGUUAAGAUGCAGUCGUGUCAGAGCUGGAAGUACAAAAGUGCAUUUAUUAAAAAUGAAUUCUGUAUCCUCUUCCCUCUUGUGUAUCUUGUCACUGACAUGACUCCACACACUGCAAAUCUGUGAAACUUUUAAAACAUGAAACUAGAGCUCAUUAAGCAAAAUGUCAACUGGUGUAUAGCAAACUCUUUCAGAAUGAAGACUGAUAAUUUUUUGUCUCCAGAGUUUUUUGUCUUCUAGGUCAUCACCAAGCCAUCCAGCUUUCUGGGAAUAUAGUUUGUGGUUUCUGUGAUCGGAGUCUGACUGUCC